rnacentral:rRNA from 1 species
GACGAACGCUGGCGGCGUGCUUAACACAUGCAAGUCGAACGGAAAGGCCCUGCUUUUGUGGGGUGCUCGAGUGGCGAGCGGGUGAGUAACACGUGAGUAACCUGCCCUUGACUUUGGGAUAACUUCAGGAAACUGGGGCUAAUACCGGAUAGGAGCUCCUGCUGCAUGGUGGGGGUUGGAAAGUUUCGGCGGUUGGGGAUGGACUCGCGGCUUAUCAGCUUGUUGGUGGGGUAGUGGCUUACCAAGGCUUUGACGGGUAGCCGGCCUGAGAGGGUGACCGGCCACAUUGGGACUGAGAUACGGCCCAGACUCCUACGGGAGGCAGCAGUGGGGAAUAUUGCACAAUGGGUGGAAGCCUGAUGCAGCAACGCCGCGUGCGGGAUGACGGCCUUCGGGUUGUAAACCGCUUUCGCCUGUGACGAAGCGUGAGUGACGGUAAUGGGUAAAGAAGCACCGGCUAACUACGUG